UUUCACUGUUACUAAAAGGCAUCAUAUCGAACAAGGACUUCAUGGUAUUACACCUGAGCAGGUUCUACUGUGCUACUGAUAUCAUCGUGUCUGAAUAUCGAUCGACACUACAACUGGCUGUUUCAUAGGCGUCGUCUUACUGCGAGAGUUAAAAGAAGUCAGAGAAGAUACACAGAAAUGUUUUAUAAACAAGAAAAAGGGAAGAAAAAAAAGUCUUAUAAUGGGAUCUAGCCGCCAGCGUAUCACCAACCGACUGAUCCUAAUGGGUCUGGAACAUCCACCAUGCCAAGACGAUGAUGAUAUGACUUAAAACGGGUCAAACGCGACGAUGGCCAAAGCUCAAGUGUCACUAUGUGCAGGAUAUGACGUUGAUAUCUUGUGAUAGGUAAAUCAUUCACUGU